CAAAUGUAAGCGAAUCUCCACCUCGAGAUUCGACGCUGAGGAGGAGACAGGCUGUAGGAUAAUGUCAUGCGCAUCAUCCAUCAUUUCUGCCAGGAGACGCACGUGCACGUCUGGCUUUCUGAAUCUAAGCAUCCAGCAGGCCGGAUCCACUUGUGCCCCGCAGGCGCCCCGCUUCCACGCUUCCUCAGCAGAAAAAGGUGAAGCGAGGAAUGAAGGAAUGUGUCUUUUCAUCAAGACUGGCGCUGCGUGAAUGUUUCGCAGCGGCAACAUGAUUCCUUGAGCACAAAAGAAGCGAAGGGAACAUCGCUUCCAGGCGCCACCUGCUUUUGCCAAAAAAAAAAGAAGACGCUGGAAGAUGACAGUUUCCCGUGGCACUAUUGAUGCCAUUCCCUCCAUCGAUGCUUUUGCUUCUACGGUCAUCAAGGGCGUCUGCAUUUCUGUAUUUUUGACAGUCUUCCAGGUUCUUCUUUUCCCACGGUGGCUUGUUAAGGAGGCUCGCACAGAAUAGCAGUAGACUGUUAACGCCUCGCCACAUCAUUCCAUGGCCGCCGCUCGCUCCCACAACGCAGUCAAUUUCCCCUACGUGAUUGAUGGCAGAGCAUGCGGGCGGAUUUCAGCCAAUUCUCGCUUGAGAUUGUCCCUCGUGUGCAGGCCAAUGGCGGUGACAUUCAUCAUAGACAGCAGGAGCUAUCUUAAAGGGCAAAGCCGUACGCUUGACGGAAUCCAGAGAGACAGGAAAAAAAAAAAAAAGCAGGUAACAAACUCGAGCGCAGAACAAGUGGCGAAAGAAACCAUCAUGGUGUUAGUUAACUGUCGACUUUCUGGUUCAUUUUCCUCCUUGGAUGAACGACUCAUAAGAAAAUGGUGGCAGCAAAUGAUUUCAAGUCUCCACCACGUUGCUCACGCAAAUCACUUACGACUGAUGACAAAAAGCGAAUCACUUGAGUGUGGAGUGUUUAAAGUUGGCCUAAUUUCACUCC